rnacentral:misc_RNA from 1 species
AAGUCGUAACAAGGUCUCCGUAGGUGAACCUGCGGAGGGAUCAUUAACACGAAAGAUGGGCUCACACCCAUCUCUUCUAUCAACCACACGCGAACUUAUCGACUGUCAUCGGAACAGGGUGGACCAUGGGCGUCGUCUCAGGUCAUGUGAUGGCAGCCGUAGCCCGGUUCGUCUCCGGACGAUCCGGACCCUGGGAUAACCAAUAUUAACUCCAAAACAAUUCUCAUAUAGCCAUCCUAACCGAUGGUGCUUUUCUAUUCAUUCCUCCGCGCUUGCGCGGUUGAGUGACAUAUCUAUAACGCGAAACAACUCUUAGCAACGGAUAUCUUGGCUCCC